rfam:Schistosoma margrebowiei strain Zambia genome assembly, scaffold: SMRZ_contig0000549
GCACUGCCGACGAGUCCCACAAUAGGACGAAACGGCCGUCCAGUAC